AACGGACGCUGGCGGCGUGCUUAACACAUGCAAGUCGAACGCGAACGGGUUCUUCGGGACCUUAGUAGAGAGGCGCACGGGUGAGUAACGCGUAAGUUAUCUACCUCGGCAUCUGGAGUAACUCACCGCCAGGCGUGCUAAUACCGGAUACGUUGAGUAAUCAAGAAAGGUGGCCUCUCUUUGAUGCCACCGUGCUGAGAUGAGAUUGCGUACCAUUAGCUAGUUGGUGGGGUAAUGGCCUACCAAGGCGACGAUGGUUAGCGGGUCUGAAAGGAUGAUCCGCCGCACUGGAACUGGAACACGGACCAGACUCCUACGGGAGGCAGCAGUGAGGAAUAUUGCGCAAUGGGGGCAACCCUGACGCGGCGACGCCGCGUGGAUGAUGAAGGCCUUCGGGUCGUAAAAUCCUGUCAGGUGGAAAGAAAUGUAUAUGUGCUAAUACCAUGUAUACUUGACGGUACCACCGAAGGAAGCACCGGCUAACUCCGUGCCAGCAGCCGCCGUAACAC
rnacentral:rRNA from 1 species